rnacentral:lncRNA from 1 species
AGUCCUGCAGGGCGGGGCAAACUUGGAGAGGCGCUGCGUCGGGGGACGGGGCUACAAGCCGUCGCUGGGGGCGGGGCUUGCGGCCCACCUGUAGGUCCCGGUGCCACCUCGUCAGUGUCCCGAGAGAUCCCCAGAAGAACGAGAGGGCUGAACAGGGGACCCCACUGACGUCCGGUGGGCCGACUUUACGAUCCUUUAGGAUGAAGAAACUAAGACUCAGAGAAGACAAAUGACAUGCCCAAAGACACAUUGAUAAGAACGCAUCUGGUAGUGGUGUUCGAGUCCAGCGUUGCAGCAGAGAGAUGGGUAACUGUAUGGCCGAACAGCUGUCUUCUCGUGGAAGAAGGAGGCCAAUGUCCAGGAGUGGCAGGCAUACUGGAACUUGGACUUCUGUAGGCCAACCUGGGUUCCACUUGGUAGAUGGGGGUCUUGCUGUGUUGCCCAGGCUGGUCUCAAACUCCUGGCCUGAAGCAGUCCUCCUCCCUUAGCCUCCAGAGUAGCUGGGACUACAGGUACACACCACUGCAACCCCUCAGUGGUUGUUAUUUAACUGAAGGGGGUUUUAGCUUUCAUGUAUCAGCUCACUCUGGAGCCAGACAGCCUGGCCUUCAUGGCAGCUCUGCCCCUUACUACCUGUGUGACAUCGGGCAACGUUACUGAGUGUCAGAUUUCUUAUUUGUAAAACAGGGAUAAAAAUGACAUUGCUGUGCAAAUUAAAAGAAAGAAUCCAUGUGAGAUAUUUAGCACACUGGCAUACAAUGAGAGCUUAAUAAACAUUGUUAGUUUUGUAAACUGAGGGAAAAAAAUAGCCACAGGCCUGGGAACAUAAAUGCUUGGUAAGCUUCUCAGUUCCCUGGAAGUCUGACACGCAAUGUGUAUGUAUGAACAAGGCAGGAGGAAGCAUGACACCAAGCCUUCCUUUUAACAAACACUGUUUAAAUCAGAGGUCGGAAGUCAUGGACUGGAGAUUCAUUCUCUCCCCACUCAUUUCUGCCCAGAGACACCUGGUGAUCUGGCAUACACAGUGCUAUGAACCUCAGAAUUAUUUGCUAGCAUUUACAAAUUGUGAGUACUCCCACAUACAAACUGUGGUAGAUGGAAUAAUGCCUCCCCACAAAAAUGUCCACAGCCUAAUCCCUGGAACCUGGGAAUAUGUUACUUUACACAGCAAAGGAAUGUUGCAGCUGUGAUUGGAGAUUGAGAUAGGGAGAGUGUAUUAGUCUGUUGUCAUGCGGCUAUGAAGAAAUACCUGAGACUGGGUAAUUUACAAAGAAAAGAGGUUUAAUUCACUUACAGCUCAGCACGGCUGGUUGGGGGGGCGCCCUCAGGAAAUUUACAAUCAUGGUAGGAGGCACCUCUUCACAGGGUGGCAGGAGAGAAAAUAAGAGCAGAGCGAAGGGGGAACCCCUUAUAAAACUGUCAGAUCUCAUGAGAACUCACUGUCAUGAGAACAGCAUGGGGGAAACCGCCCCCAUGAUCCAUCACCUCCACCUGGUCCCCCCCUUGUUACAAUUCAAGGGGAUUGUAACAAUUCAAGGUGAGAUCUGGGUGGGGACACAGAGCCAAACCAUAUCAGAGAGUCUUCCUGCAGUGUCCGGGUGGGUGCGGCAUGUUCAUAGGGUCUUAGAAGAGGGAAGCAAGAGGUGAGAGGACAGAAAUGCCACAUUGCUGGCUUUGAGGGUGGGGCCAGAGGAGGGACCUGCAGGCAGAGAUAGAGCUGGAAAUGGAAAGGAAACCUUCUCCCUUAGAGUCUCCAGAAGAAGUGCAGCCCUACAGACCUGUGUUAGGCUUCAGACCUCCAGAAUUGUAAAAUAAUAAAAUUGCAUUAUUUUAAGCCACUCGAGGCCCAUGUCCUCAACAAAGAGAAAGACGGUGGGGUGCUGUCAGCCAGGGUAGGUACCUGCUUGGUGGUCUGGGUCCUUUCCCACUGUGUCCAUUCAGUUACAUUACCUGCCCAUCUGCUGAGGCCUCGAGUUUGGGACCUCAGGUUUAUAUAAUUCCUUGCACAAGCAUGAUCGAUUGAUUCCGGAGAGUAGCAGAACACUGAUAUGCAGGGGAAUCUCCUAGUUCCAAGUGUGAGUUGUAGUCUAGACACUUCCUGUUCCCUACAGUCUUUUUUUUUUUUUUUUUUUUUUUUGAGACAAAGUUUUGCUCUGUUGCCCAGGCUGGAGUGCAGUGGUGUGAUCUCGGCUCACUGCAACCUCUGCCUCCUGGGUUCAAGCAAUUCUGCCUCAGCCUCCCGAAUAGCUGGGAUCACAGGCACAUGCCACCAUGCCCAGCUAAUUUUUGUAUUUUUAGUAGAGUUAGGGUUUCGCCAUGUUGGCCAGGGUGAUCUCAAACUCUUGACCUCACAUGAUCCGCCCGCCACAGCCUCCCAAAGUGCUGGGAUUACAGGCGCAAACCACCGCCCCCAGCCCUCUUCCCUACUGCCUUGAUGUGUUCAUCUGGGCAAUGUGUGUUGAGGGGGCAUAGGGAGGGGAGCUCUAAGGCAAAUGUGCUGGGAUUCUGCAUUCGUCAUCCUCAAAACAAAAUUGGUCCCUAGGUAGUUCUGCCUGUGAUCCUGCAUAAUGUGCAAAGCCAGUAAGAUGCCUUUGCCUCAUCCCCAGGGAACAUGCCUCCCAGCCACUUUCAUCUCACCUAGUGCCUACACAGAAAGGCAACCGCCUCCCUGCUGAAGGGACCCCACGCCUGUCUCCUGUUUCCACACAAUUACCCCGGGAAAUGCCUGGCUUCCCAUUUCCAGUUGCAGCCAUCUUGACAGUUUCAGCCUCUCCCCACAGCCCACGUCCCUCACUUGAGCAGCGAGAUGUGAAGACAGACAGCCGCUUGAGAACUGCACAGACUGUCCUUAAUCUAAGCCAUUUAAAAGGCAUUUGUGUUCCAUAAAACCCGUUUCUGUAAUUCUGUGCCCCUACUUCUUUGAAAGAUGAUAACCCUAGGGAGGAGAUUAGCCAGGGAGGAGAAGUUCAGAUGUGCUAAUAUUUUAAUCGCUCAUUCUUUCAUCACAUUAGUCACAUUCAUUAAGUAUGAUUAAUUUCAGGCUUUGUUGAAAACCCUAUCAGUUUCCCUAUCAGCCACACAUCCAUCUCUUGCCAAGCAGGCUGGUGCAGUAGCACCAAAAGUCCCCCAGUGUUUUUUACACCUGGAUUGUAUUAUGUGCCCCCUGAAAAUGUGUGGAAUUAAUUGAGCUCAUUUGUUUCAAAUACUUUGCAAGAGCCUGGGCUCUUGAGUCAGGCGGCCUAAGUGUGAUCCUAAGUCCUCCCAUUGCUGGAGUCACCUGGGCAAGUGACUGACGCCCUCUGAGCCCUGGUGUCCUCGUCUGAGGAUGGAGAUAAGAAUACCUAACUCGAAAGUUGGUUGUGAAGAUGAAAGAAGGCUUUCAAAUUGCUAAGUUAGUUGGUUAUGAUUGUAAUUAAGGGCCCUUGGAGAUGGAUCAUUCAUCCAUUCAUUCAUCCAUUCAGAAGAUUUGUGUACAGUGACUACUGUAUGCAACCCUGUGUGUCCACUGCUGAUGAGAGAGACAGCAGCAAACACAGCAGUCAAAUGCGUGUGGCCCCCAGGACCUUAUAUUUUAGUGGUGGAAGCUAGACAACCACCAAACAUGUAAUAUACCAGAUGGUGGUACGUUCUAUGGAGGAAAGAAAGGACGAGGGGCAGGGAGUCCUGGGCUGGUGGGACAGGGUGCUAUGGCUCAGAGGGAACUCAGAGAUCACCUAAUUCAGGCCCUGACCUGGAGGGCUCAUGCUUUGCACACUGUGCUAAGAAUUUGGACUUUCUUUCUCCAAGAAUAAGGACAAUGAGAGCCAGCAAGCAGGGAAGUGGAGCAAGGAUGGUGCCGUCCGGCUGCUCAGCUGCUGGCUGGAACUCCCGGAGGACUCUGUGAGGAUGCAGGUAGAAGGUGUGUAAGCAUGUGACUGCAUGGAAGCCCUCGGCAUGUGAUCCACUCCGUGUUCCAAAUUGCCAUCCUUUCUGCGUGCUGUUAGGGACUUCCCCCAGCUCUCCCUGCAGAGUGAGGAGUACUCUGAGACAGACGGGUCUAGGAUGAACUGUGUUGAUGGAGAAAUGAACAUUUUUUGGAGGGAAGGAAGAUUUCGGGGUGUGGGGCAUAAGUUGAAGGAGUAUGGCUCUGAAAGUCCUUGGGCAGUUUGUAGAGGACAGAGAAGGUGGUAAUGUCAGUUUCUGCCCCUCUCCCACCUCCACCUCUGGCCUUCUCAGUGGUCCUAUGGCUCCCUACCUUCAGUCAUCUUGUUCUCAAGCCUGAAGUGCUGGAUCCACUCAGCUGCAACCCAGCUCAACACCUCUGUGGAAGCUUUGCCCAUCAAUCAGGAGAAGCUGAGAUCCAGAGACUGAUGCCCACGUUCUGUCUUUGCAGAGGGAAGCCCACCAGAGCCCUCUUCUCUCUGGGGAGGAGCUGGCUCCCUGAAUCUCCAAGACAAACCCAGACAGCCCUGGGGACCUUGAAUGUGAGCAAGGGGAGCAGAAAGGAGGCUCCAGCCCACCCAGGGCCCCUGCAGGGUCUGCACACACAAUUACAGGUCCUCAUUUCCCUCUCCUAAUGAUGCCCCAAAACAUUAAGGGAAGUUAAAUCAAACCACCAGGUGUCCAGCAUGAACAGCUGAAAUAAUAAAUUCACGAGAUUUGAAUCCAAAUAACUGAUGAUUUGUUCCAUGAAUGCCAGAGCUGGAAGGGAUGGGGUUGGCAGAAGAGACAAGACUGGACCAUGGACCUGGUGGUUCUGUGCAGAGGCCAAAGCUACUCUCCUUCCCACCUGGCCCUGUGCUGGGCCUAACCUGGAGCCCCCUCUAUCCUCUGCCUCAUUCUUCUCCGGGUCAAGGUCCAGCAUGAACUCCAUGUCCUCCAGGAAGCCCUGGUGGACUUGGGCAGACCUGGGGACACGUCCAGCCUCCUGGCAAGAUGGGGGUAACAGGAGUGUGUAUAAAGGGGAAGGCAAGAAUGUGCCCUUGGUGGAGCAGUGAAAAGAAGCCCUCAUGUGACAAGUGUUUUGCUCCUAACCCACCUCCUCUGGUGACAUCUUCUGGGUUAACUGCUCUUGCUGAUCUCUGCACAUAAACCAAGCUAACUGUGAGAGGCCUUUCAUUUCUAGUUUAAAGCAAGGAGACCACAGUUCCUUCUGAACACUCACCCCCAAGGAGAUAAGGAGGGCGUCCCAUGAGCAACACUGUGUGUUAAAGAUGUACACGAGCACUGGGACCUGACCAAGGACAAACACGUCUCCAGCCCCCUCAGACCCUUGCUGCUGCUCAGAUGUCCGCUGUCAUCGGUCACAUCCUAACCUCAACCCCCUCUCUCCUCCCACAUAAAAGGAGGCUGAAAUUCAUAGUAACUUCAGAUGGUUCUUUAGGACACUGGCCCACCACCUUCUCGGUUGCUGGCUCUCCAAAACAAAGCCCCCUCCCUUGACCCAAUUCCUUGUUUCUUGACGUACUGGCUGUUGUGCAGUGCAUGGUACCGGCUUGAACUCGGUUAUGUUGGCAUGGCCUCUGGCGGUGCUCAGUUUGUGUGGAUGAGUAUUUUACAGCUACUGUCCUAUUUCCAGUCCCCUUCCUCUGGACGGCUAUGGGAUGUGCUGUGGAUGCCCUCUCUUAGGCUGGAAUAAACCACCCUACCUUCUCCUCUGCCUUGUCUCCACCAAAUAAACUCCUUAAGGCAGGGAUAGAGUCUUGCACUCCACGAAGAAGUAUUGCUGCAUCCUCAGCUGUGUAAGAGUGACCGGGCUUCUUCUAUUCCACCUGUAAUGGAACUUUAGGCACGCAGAGAGAGAUGGCAAAUUUGUGCUGGCUGAAGGGGUCAGCAAAUGCAUAUAAGGCUUCUUGUGCUCCAGAGAGAGAAUGGAGUGCAGUCAGUGAGACCCUGAGGGGAGAAGGAACCAAAAGCCUGGGCAGAAGGGAUCGUGGAGGUGCCCAGGGUCAGGAGGGAUGGGAAGGGUGAGGAACACAAGAGAUCACCUGGAGGCAUUAGAGGAGAAGGCAGGCACUGGGGAUGGUGCCGCUGAUCCAGGUGGAGCAACAUCCUAGGACCCGAGUGCUGGGCAGGUGCAUCCGUGGAGGGAAGCUUCUCUCCUCUCUCGGCUCCUGCUGAGAGAGGCAAUCAUUCCCCUGGCUUGCCCUGCAAGAGACAGGAGCUCUAGGUAGAUCUCUGCUAUCUAGGGAAUAGAAUGUGAAUAUUUGAAAGUUCUAGAGGUCAAGUCUUAGGUUCCCUCUCAGCUCAGAUCCCAAAUGGUACACUCUACCCUAACCCCCUUUUCUUGUAGCUUUGCUACAUGGAGAGGAAAAUACCUUGCCAGACACCAACAGUCCCUUCUCAGCACUUUUGUGUGAAGACAACUCAGACCCUAAGAGAAUGGGGUCUAAUUUGCAGGUGCCACUGGAAGGCAGAGGUCACGGGAGCCCUGGACUUCAGACAAGGUAGAGGGAUCCUGGAGACAGCACAUCUGGCCCUGGAGCCCUGCCCACCCGGGGAGUGAGGGCAGCUCUCCUGCUCUCCUAGGAGGCCUGCCCGAGGACCCCCAUGUCCUCUAUGUGUGGGAUUCUGCAGUUUGCACUCACAACCCAGAGCCUUUUACCCAACUACCCUGUUUGUAGGAAUGUGUCCAAAAUAAGCAUCAGACAAGUACAUGAAGAUGAAUGUGCAAAGACGUUCAUAACAGGAUUGUUUAUAAUCAUGAAAAAUGAUCUGCAGAUUUCCUGUCUGCUGUGCAGGAUGAGUUAGACGGGGAUGCAUCCAUAAAAUCACUUUGCCCUCAUUUAAAAUUAUAUCAUAGAUCUAUGUUUAAUGACAUAGUAAACGGUACUCAAUGCAUUAAGUGAAAAAAGCAUAUACAUAUCAGGAUGUAUAUGAUCAAGUUUUUGUUAAAUGGAUGCAUGUAUGCAUGUCAGUAACUGUCUGUGUUUGCAAACAAAACGUCUAGCAAGACGUGCAUCAAAUAUUAACAAUCAUUAUCUUUGGAUUCUGGAUUUAUUGACUUCUAUUUUUGACUUUGCCCUUUGUUUUUCUAUGUUAUCUGACACUUUUACACUGAGUUUAUAUUAUUUUU